AUUCAAUGGGCUUCGAGGUGAAUUGGGCCCAAUUCAUAGCCCAGCGUAAGCUUGGCCGUUUAAAGAACGAUCCGACAUUAAUACAGAAACGGAAGGAUCACGACUUAAACAGCGCAUUAAAGUCCCGAGUUGAAGAUUCGUAACGAACGACAUUAAUAACGCGAGAUCCGCGGCGUGAAGUCAGCGAGUAAUUUAAUACGUUUGAUCCGAUGUAUUGAGUAUAAAUACGAGUCGAUGACAUUUGUAAAGGGGACGAAAAAGAAUACACUA
rnacentral:sRNA from 1 species